ACUCCUACGGGAGGCAGCAGUGAGGAAUAUUGGUCAAUGGGCGAAAGCCUGAACCAGCCAUGCCGCGUGCAGGAAGACUGCCCUAUGGGUUGUAAACUGCUUUUAUACAGGAAGAAACACUCCCUCGUGAGGGAGCUUGACGGUACUGUAUGAAUAAGCACCGGCUAACUCCGUGCCAGCAGCCGCGGUAAUACGGAGGGUGCAAGCGU
rnacentral:rRNA from 1 species